CCGUAACUAUAACGGUCCUAAGGUAGCGAAAUUCCUUGUCGGGUAAGUUCCGACCCGCACGAAUGGUGUAACGAUCUGGGCACUGUCUCAACUACCCACCCGGCGAAAUUGUAGUACCGGUGAAGAUGCCGGUUACCUGCGGCAAGACGGAAAGACCCCAUGGAGCUUUACUGUAGCCUGAUAUUGGGUUUCGGAAAUCUAUGUACAGGAUAGGCGGGAGACUGGGAAACAUGAGCGUCAGCUUGUGUGGAGUCGAUGUUGGGAUACCGCCCUUAGGUUUCUGGAAUUCUAACCUGCGGCCGUGAAUCCGGUCGGGGGACAUUGUCAGGUGGGCAGUUUGACUGGGGCGGUCGCCUCCGAAAAGGUAACGGAGGCGCUCAAAGGUUAGCUCAGCACGGACGGAAACCGUGCCUCUGAGUGUAAACGCAAAAGCUAGCCUAACUGCGAGGGUGACGGCCCGAGCAGUAACGAAAGUUGGAGUUAGUGAUCCGGCGGUAUGUGAAUGGAAAUGCCGUCGCUCAACGGAUAAAAGCUACCCUGGGGAUAACAGGCUGAUCUCCCCCAAGAGUCCACAUCGACGGGGAGGUUUGGCACCUCGAUGUCGGCUCAUCACAUCCUGGGGCUGUAUUCGGUCCCAAGGGUUCGGCUGUUCGCCGAUUAAAGUGGUACGCGAGCUGGGUUCAGAACGUCGCGAGACAGUUCGGUCCCUAUCUGUCGUGGGCGCAGGAUAUUUGAGGAGCUCUGUCCUUAGUACGAGAGGACCGGGAUGGACGUACCUCUGGUGCACCAGUUGUCAUGCCAAUGGCACGGCUGGGCAGCUAUGUACGGAACGGAUAAACGCUGAAAGCAUCUAAGCGUGAAGCCGACUCCAAGAUUAGAUAUCCCAUAGCGUAAGCUAGUAAGACCCCUUGUAGACUACAAGGUUGAUAGGCUGCAUGUGUAAGCACGGUAACGUGUUCAGCUUGGCAGUACUAAUAGGUCGAGGGCUUGACCAU
rnacentral:rRNA from 1 species